UUUUUUUUUUUUUUUUUUUUUUUGCCCAGGAAGAGAGACUGGACCACGGGGAACACCUUAACAGGAUCUGUCGCUGGGGGAUUCGACUGAAGUGUGAAGAGGAGUGUAUAUGGGAGAUGUGCAGAGAAUUCUAAAUAGCCUGCUCCCCGGGCCCCCGAAGAGGAACCAGCGGCAUGAUGUCACACACCUGUUUGGCUGGAGGCUGCGGCCCGGCGAUGCUUGGAGCCGUGGGUGUCGCGUUGGCACCCCUUGCUCCCCCCUUGUCGCUGCCUGCUACGCCCCGUGGAUGUGUCAAAAUGGCAGAUGAUGGUUGGGGUGUGUGCAGCUGCUUGGGAAGAGGAGUGCCAAGGGCGCUCAUUUCCUGCGGAAACUCUUGGAAGGCAAAAGCAACAUCCUGAGUUGGUGAGGAGACAGGAGAGGUGCUGACAUGCCGACAGGCAGGGGAUCCUGGGAAAAGCCACAGACAGGAAGAGCCUGACUGACUUUGACCCCCGAGGUCAAGGCUGGGGGCUCGGCAACUGAAAGAUGUUUCCAAGCCACGCUCGUACUAUCACAGAGUUUUACAGGAAAUGGCUUAGAAAUACUGUACGCUGUGAAAUGUGGGGGAUCUUUUUAUUGCGCGCUCUCUUUUGUUUUUUCCCGUCCCUGUGAUAUAAAAUGCAUUUUGGCCCAGAGCUAUAUUUGACUUAUUUGUUUGAGGGUUACUGUAUGUAAUUGAGUUGAGCUCAAGUCCAUCUCUCAUCUCUAUAAUGUGAAAAGCAGUGUGUUUUGUGUGUUUUUUCCCUGUGUGAGUGUGUGUGGAUGGGCCAUGACUAAUAGAAUUAGUGAUGAUGGGAGAUGUGGAGAUUUGCGAGACAGAAAUUAGACUGGGACAAAAGCACAGUGUUACUCUAGUGCUCCGAUUUCUGACAUGUGUUUUGAAUAGAGUGAAGUUUCCUACUCUUUUUUU